GGAUAUGAGGGUGAUUGGGAUGUGACAUCUGUCACCCCAUUGGUCAACAGGGUUAUCUGGCUCAUCUGGCUGGUUAGGAGAGUGUCCCCUUCCUCCCUCACUGCUCCAUGUGUGUCCCUCAGGAAGCUGCAUUCUUGGUCGAAGAGGACGACCUUCCCCAAACAGAGAUGACUGGUCUACAAUGCUUCAGUGGAGGGUAGCUGCAGUUCCCCUGCUAAAAUCUCCAAACAAGGUCUCAAAAAAUUGUUUAUAACAAUAGAAAAGAGAGGGCCGCUAGGAGCACUGGAUUCAUAGUGCAGGCACUGAGCCCCAGU
rnacentral:snRNA from 1 species